ACCCUUUGUUUUCACUGUUUCAACCUUCUGUUUUUAAAUUCCUUUUGUUGCACGGUUUAAAGCUCCUCUCUCCCCACGUUUUGUUUCACAUUCCUUCCCCUUCCUCACUUUCUGUUCUACGGUUUCACAUUUACUUCACGCCAGCCUCUCUCCCUUCUAGCGGCAAUCUCUCUGUCUUCCUUCCUUCCUGCCUUUCUCUCCUCACAGUCUAUAAAUAUUGAUAGAAGUUGGUUCAAAGCAUAAAAGCCCUAGAACCAUCCGUAAACCAAAAUCUACAAUUUGAUUUUUAUUUUCAUUUUACUUUCUACUUCUAAUUUGUUUUGUGUUUUCUUCAGUUCAGGUAUAUCUUUCUUUUUUGGUUUUCAGGAAACAGAAGUCUCUUCUCACGAAAGCUUGCAGCAAGUAGUCGUCCUAGCACAGAUUCUGAUAUGUGGUAUUGACAACUUUCAUCGUGAUUUAAUGGUUGGGUUGGUGCACACGAAAGCUUCUUAGAGAGCAACUUGGCCAUUGUUGGUGGCAAUGAUUAGUGAGGAUGGUUGUGACUUGUAAGGCGAUUGGAGCAGCAGUAUUCCAUAUUACCUUUCUGUCACUCUAAAUUUCUUGCUUAAGGUAACAAAAGGUUUCCACCUUCUAUUGGGUGUGAAAGGAGUGUGGGCUGUUUUUUUUUUUUUUUGGAUGGGUUUUCCCAACUCUUUCAUGUUAGAGUUUAUUGCAUUGAUAUUAGCAAUGGUCAUGAAUUUUUUUGGGGGGAGGGUUUGUGUAUAAUAUGAUUGAUAAAAUUCCUCAAUGAAUGAGUGGUACUGGAAUAUAUAUAUAUAUAUAUAUAUAUAUAUGAAAAAGGAGUUGUAGCUGUAGUUUCCUUUAUUUAAAUUUUUGUUUGUUAGCCCUCCAAGGAGGUUAAAUUUAAUCUCAAACCAUUGAUAUUGAACCGUACUUUUAUAUUGUUAUAUUAUUUUGUUUUGAAAGUUUAA